rnacentral:lncRNA from 1 species
AUUUGCAGCAGACUUGGAGUCAAAAGACUUUUCAAAUAUGUAUUGACCCAAUACUUUUUAUUGCUCUGAACUAUGGAGAAUACUUAAGGGACUUAGCAGCUAGGGGGUUUCAAUAUUUGUUGUCGGUGGUGACUGCCGAGAACGCGAUGGGUCAGGUCCAUCCCGCACACAGACGACAGGAACGGGGAAGCGAGAGCUGGGCCUCAGAUCUGACAGUGAUCACCAAGGAAAUGAACACGCUGAUGGCCCUCUGCAUCUCCAGCACAGUUCGGUUGGAUGCCGCUAGUGGGUGGCAGUAUCUCUCGUUUUGAUCAAGGAAACAGAAGUAUCGAGUGAUCCAAGGCAAUGGCUCGCCUACUUCUCUCUUUAGAGUUUAAAACCAUCUCAUGCACCGAUUGUGAUCUCUGGCAACUGCAGGUAAAAGAUGGCCUGUAUCACGGCUAGUUUGUAAUUGCAGGAGGAAGGAGAACAAAAACCCCAAUGUCUCUGGACUUCAGCCUCUGGGCAAGGAUUUGCCCUUUUAACACUGUGUUCUUAUAUAUUUAUAGUUUCUUCAGCAAUGUGUAUUGAAUACACUUUUCCUGAGCAAGAGAAAGGCACAGGUGUAGAUGGUGUCUAGCAAAUAGGACUCUGGCCGGGCUGAUGUCUUUGGGUGUUGCCACAGCAAACGUGUGAAAAAGUUGAAAGCUAAAUUGUGUUGAUAAAUUUGCACUCAUACAUGCUAAGUAUGAAGCCACACAGUUAUUACAGUGUCCUUCUCAAUUUUGGUAAAUGACUAGAACAGUGCGGACAUCCUGCUGCAUCAGAAAUGUGUCAGUUAAGAUAUGAGUUUGGUAAAUUUAAGCAAAUCCUAGUUGCAUUGAAAUCAAUGGGAAAACUGAAUGAAAGCUGAUAAACCAGGAUUUGACCCUGAAUUUGGUAAGAAAACAUUACAGGUUGAGGAAACUCUGCCUUAACAGGCUCCAGCUACUACAACCAUGUAGCUUAACUUCAUGGUGAAUUCUUAGACCCGUGCAUAUACUGCGGCUGGAUCCUUACACUCAGAUACUACUGUUGGGUAUAUCUAAUGUUGAAGGACCGCACAUAAAGGAGGAACCCAGUUUUCACAUUGCUCUCUCAAGCAGCGUGUUUUUAUUUCCUGUCUUCUUAACCCAGAAUUUGUGGCAUUGGCUGCUGCUGUUGUGACAGAUGCUGAAAGAGGCUGGCAGUAUUUUUGGUGCUGAAACCAAAACUUGUAAGAGUUUGUCUUUGUUGACAAACUCUUAAAAGAAAGAUUUACUGUUAUGGGGCUGUUUCCUCUCAGGGUCAUUU